rnacentral:tRNA from 1 species
GGAGAAGUGGCGGAAGGGCAGACGCUAAAGACAAGUAUAGAGUGAUCUGAAAAAGCUAUUCAGGGAACUAACACUCAUACAGGUUCGAAUCCUGUCUUCUCUA